UUGCGCUCUGCAGCCCAGAUCGCGUCCUGGCUCCGGGCGCGCGGGGGAACCCUGAGAGCUUGCGGAGAGCCGCCAGGAGGGGGACCGAGGAGCCGCAGAGAGGGGCGUAGGUGAGCGACUCGCGGAGCUAAAGAAAGGGGAAAAUACGGAGCGAGGUGCGAGAAAAAGAAUCCUGUCCUGUAGGGAAGGUCCCUCCAAAAUACUCGAGAUACUCUUGGAGUUCCUGAAUCUAUUCUCUGAUACUUUAAAGAGGAACAAUCACCCUUGGAGAAUAACAUCUACUGAGAGUUGAGAUGCAAACUUAGGGUGUGAAUGGAAAGAUUAAAGUGUGAUCAACUGUCCUUCUCCUGGUAUCACCUUAAGGAAUAUUGGCUGCUUAAUUUGAAUUUAUGAAUUCUUCAUCAUCUUCUGCCAAAAGCCCUUCCAGUAGCACAAGUGUUCACUGUCUAAAGCCAUAUUCUUUGUCAAUACUUUAGACCAACUGGAUAGAAAGGAGAUAGAAGAGGAUCUCGGGAAGCAGAUCACAAGCCUGAUACAAGUGUAUUGAAAACAUCAUUCUGAGAAGGGAGCUAUAGACUGCACCAAACAGCCAAAGGGAUCCAUAUUACAACAGAGGU
rnacentral:lncRNA from 1 species